UAGGAACAAAUAUUACGGAUAAUUUCAUACGCUUAUUUGCGGUACAAAUAAUUAUAACUAGCCAAAAACCAAAAGAAUUGUAAUUAGCGCAAUACAGAAAAAAAAAACUUUUAGAGUUUCUUCAAUAAAGUAAAAUGUACAUGCCGCCGACCACUCGUCCAUUCACAAUAACAUGAAAAAUCAACUAUUGUUCAAUGAUGAUAGUGCUGCCUAUGUGCGAACAGCGAUCAGGCUGGCGACGAUGUCCACUAUGCCUCGUGUAAUUAGUGAAACGUGUUGCGGUGUCAAUUAGCCGUCACAGUAAAGCGUGUAUGCCAGAUACAUUAUUAUGCCUCGUGUUCUGAUCCGACGUUCAAGUUGUGCUUUGAAGAUGUUAUGGUGUAGUAACCAAGUUUGUUAUCAGGCCACUAAUUUCUUUCCGAAUACCACCAAUCUUAUGUCAUGUUGCUGCUUGAUUUCAUAGAUUUUCCUAUUCCAAGACGUCACUUUUCGAGUACGGCUGUAUUAUUCAUUUCAUUUUUCAUUGUGUUAGUGCCAAAUAAUUUGAGGUUUUGGGAGCUGUUAUAAUAUUCGCAGCUGAAAACCACAUUUUAAUAUAACAUUCAACUACAAAACAACAUAUAUCUUCUAGUGCGUUUACUUCUUUUGAAGGCCCAGAUAAUUAUAAUCAAAGGAUAAGGCACAAAAACAAAACAUUUUCUUUUUAUGUUAUCCAUAGCAGUUUAGAAGAUGAACACAGCUUAAAAGAGGGUCUUGAAUAGUUAUUUGGUACAAUGUUGCAAAAGAGUCUAAAUAGUAUUCCUUGUAUCAGUGGUCCAUUGACACAAAUAGUUAACAAUGAUGACGAUGAAAAUUUACAGUUUGACGACAUGUCAUUAAAUGAAAUCAUUGAUUCCUUUAAAUCAGAUUUAGAAUUAAAUAGAAAAAUAUCUUAUCAAUAGUAGCCUUAAGUAUUUUUAAUUUAUUUUAUUUUACAUGCAUAUAACAAUGCAAUGUUAUAUGUAUAUCUUUUCAUACAAUUAAUAAAACAAAUUUUACAAAUCAAGAUAUUGUUUGAAUACAAUAAAAAAUAUGCAACAUGUGGAUUUUCAGAUACUGCUUGUGAAGAAUUUGUGGGUAUAAUUAUAUCUAAAAAUGAAUUUAAAUAUUAAGUUGUAAUUACUUCUUAAAAUUAAAAUAAUUUAAGUGAUCCAGUUAUAUUUUAAUAUUUUAAUCCAUAACAAAACCUUGGUAAAGACUUGGUCAUAAUAAUUGUUGGGUACACAGUUAUAUUGUGUCUUUGUUGUGCCUCAUCAAUAUGUGACUUUGACCACUGUAAAACAACUUGUCCAGUUGGUACUAAUCCAGUACUAACAACUUGGUAACAAAUUGUUGUUAACAAGAACAACAGUUGAAUAAUUUUUUGAAUUUGAUGAUCAGUUAAAAACUGAUUUAAAUAUAAUGAACAAAUUUUAUAAGAAUUUCUGUUAUAUUAAUAUUAUUUUUUUCAUAUUAAGAUAAUUUAAAAAUGUUUUACAAUUAUAAAUGUCAAUUAAGGUGCAAAAUUUUCUGAAAACUACAAUUUUAUAUCUUAUUAUGAAUAAAGAUGUACAAUUAGCAUUCAGUGCUUUUGGAAGGGCGUAGAAAGGAAUAAAAAAAUGUAAUUUUUCACAAACUUAUUGUCAUUUAAUAGAUAUUUUAACUUCUAAAAUUCCAGAGGUAACAAAAAAAGAGAUGUUCACUUAACACAGUCGUUUGUUUUCUGAUGCAGUUGUUUGUGAGGGUGGUUAAAAUUAAAGGCUCAAUAAAAAAAAAAAAAUAUUUAUUAUUUAUUUUUAAAAUUAUUUUUUGGAAAUAAUUAUUUGUUUAUUUAUUUAUUACAUUUGUUUAGGCUCUUUAAUAUUGUAUAAUUAUUUUCUGAACUUGUCAUAUAUGUGUUUUAUUAUUCAAAUCCAUGUUUUA